GGGUUGUGAGGUUAAGCGACUAAGCGUACACGGUGGAUGCCCUGGCAGUCAGAGGCGAUGAAGGGCGUGCUAAUCUGCGAUAAGCGCCGGUAAGGUGAUAUGAACCGUUAUAACCGGCGAUACCCGAAUGGGGAAACCCAGUGUGAUUCGUCACACUAUCAUUACGUGAAUACAUAGCGUAAUGAAGCGAACCGGGGGAACUGAAACAUCUAAGUACCCCGAGGAAAAGAAAUCAACCGAGAUUCCCCCAGUAGCGGCGAGCGAACGGGGAGGAGCCCAGAGCCUGAAUCAGCAUGUGUGUUAGUGGAAGCGUCUGGAAAGGCGCGCGAUACAGGGUGACAGCCCCGUACACAAAAGCGCAUGUGUUGUGAGCUCGAUGAGUAGGGCGGGACACGUGGUAUCCUGUCUGAAUAUGGGGGGACCAUCCUCCAAGGCUAAAUACUCCUGACUGACCGAUAGUGAACCAGUACCGUGAGGGAAAGGCGAAAAGAACCCCGGCGAGGGGAGUGAAAAAGAACCUGAAACCGUGUACGUACAAGCAGUGGGAGCACCCUUUGGGGUGUGACUGCGUACCUUUUGUAUAAUGGGUCAGCGACUUAUAUUCUGUAGCAAGGUUAACCGAAUAGGGGAGCCGGAGGGAAACCGAGUCUUAAUUGGGCGUUAAGUUGCAGGGUAUAGACCCGAAACCCGGUGAUCUAGCCAUGGGCAGGUUGAAGGUUGGGUAACACUAACUGGAGGACCGAACCGACUAAUGUUGAAAAAUUAGCGGAUGACCUGUGGCUGGGGGUGAAAGGCCAAUCAAACCGGGAGAUAGCUGGUUCUCCCCGAAAGCUAUUUAGGUAGCGCCUCGUGAAUUCAUCUCCGGGGGUAGAGCACUGUUUCGGCUAGGGGGCCAUCCCGGCUUACCAACCCGAUGCAAACUGCGAAUACCGGAGAAUGUUAUCACGGGAGACACACGGCGGGUGCUAACGUCCGUCGUGAAGAGGGAAACAACCCAGACCGCCAGCUAAGGUCCCAAAGUCAUAGUUAAGUGGGAAACGAUGUGGGAAGGCCCAGACAGCCAGGAUGUUGGCUUAGAAGCAGCCAUCAUUUAAAGAAAGCGUAAUAGCUCACUGGUCGAGUCGGCCUGCGCGGAAGAUGUAACGGGGCUAAACCAUGCACCGAAGCUGCGGCAGCGACACUAUGUGUUGUUGGGUAGGGGAGCGUUCUGUAAGCCUGUGAAGGUGUGUCGUGAGGCAUGCUGGAGGUAUCAGAAGUGCGAAUGCUGACAUAAGUAACGAUAAAGCGGGUGAAAAGCCCGCUCGCCGGAAGACCAAGGGUUCCUGUCCAACGUUAAUCGGGGCAGGGUGAGUCGACCCCUAAGGCGAGGCCGAAAGGCGUAGUCGAUGGGAAACGGGUUAAUAUUCCCGUACUUGGUGUUACUGCGAAGGGGGGACGGAGAAGGCUAUGUUGGCCGGGCGACGGUUGUCCCGGUUUAAGCGUGUAGGUGUGUGUUCCAGGUAAAUCCGGUUCACUUUAACACUGAGGCGUGA
rnacentral:rRNA from 1 species